UCCCGACUUUUUAAUUUUCAGUCUUUAGGAGACAUGUUUUGAGCAAUAUCACAUCCUCGUCCCCAGGGCCUAGCUCCGUUGCUCUCCACAUAGGCCCAGGGAUACGCUGGUUGAUCCCUUCAUCCUGAUUGGCUCUUUUACACUAAAAGAAUGUUGCGGGCGAUAAUUUUAUUGCGGUCGACAACAAACAUGGCGGCUGGUAAAGAGCGGGCCUUUUACAUGCUCUUUAGAAUCCAAUGUAUAAAACAGUAAACUGGGGUAUAAAAGCGCAAGACGAAUCACAUUUAUUUAAAAGACAUACAUAGGAACUAGAACAAGUCGUAUGUUAUUCAUUUUGAACCUAAAAGAAAGAAAUCACUUGGUUAAACAUGCCAUAAAACAGCUAUCGAAGUCAACGCCAAAUGAUUUCAUUGAUUGGAUUGAUUUAGGCGGUGAAAUCGCCAAUCAACGCUAAAAUUUUUACUAGUCCGACAAGCUGAUCGUCUCAACAACUGCUAAAUACAACACAUUUAUUGUCAUUGACAAUAUUUAUUACCAUUUACGACGCUCUUGGUCCAUUACAGAAAAUAUUUUUGUUCAUAUCUAUAUGAAACGACGUUUUUUAAAACUAUAUUUCUAAACUUCUAUAUAUGGGUCCUACUAAUAACCGACAACAACCGACAACCAGCUAAAAAAUACUGACAGAAAGCUUAUAAUCAUCGAUAAGACUCUAAUAUUGUGUUUCUUCGAGGACCGCUGCCUUAGAGGACUGCCUGAGAUGACUGCUUAAGAUGACUGCCCGAGAUGACUGCCUGAGAUGACUGCCCGAGAUGACUGUCAAUUUACAUCCUGUGGACAAGUGCUGCAAGGCCAACGCCAUACAGAAUAUGGAGUCCUAAUCAUUUUGUUCUAUUAUUGCUAGCCAAGGAACUGCCAACGAUGACCUUCUCGGAGCAGAACAAAAGCUAUUCGGAGGCAUGUCAUUUAGUGUUUAUCAGUUAACUGGACUUUGUGAGAGUUUUCUUGCAAAAUGUUUGCCAAGGUGGCGAUCGAAGGUGGACAGCAAGAUCGAAGCUCAACAAGAUAGAAGAUUGUUCGAGGAAGAAGGAGUUCGCCGUUGACUAAAAGGUUUAUCUGAACAGCUAGUUGUCAAGAUGAAGGUGAAGACUCGCCCGGCCAAAUUCAAAAUGGCGAUGCCAAAGAAAACCAUCCACGUGGACCGUUCGCCGACCUUUCUGAGCAAGAUUGUUGUGC